CAUCUUCAUUUCAAUACCUAAAAUCACAUUGUGCAUAUUUAAAGCCAUUCAAUUCGGUUCGGAAAGAUCAGAACAUUGGUAGGCUCGUUGGUUAUGUUAUUUGGAGUGUUAUUAUUACAAGGCAUGUUCGUUGUAUUUUGGGAGCAAUAACCGAAGAAUCGUCUCACCAAUGAAGACAUUAUCAUCAUAAGGAAAAAUAGUUGAACUCUUAUCUCGUCCAAUUUGAAUCUCAAUUCAUUAGCAUUUCAUUUUUCUAUGUCCGUAUUCAGGUAUGUCGAAACUCUAUCCAAAUUACUACACCCAGAAAAUUAAUUUAUAGAAUAUAAAUUUACGCACACAUUAAUUUUUGGAACAACACCUUCUGUAUAAUGAGAUUCAAUCCAAAACUUCUAAACAAGGAACUUAAAGGCAAGAGACAGGAUGUUAGAGAAUGCUAUCCUUCAUAAUUUUUUAGCAGGUAAUUUUCUGCUUCUAACAGAUAAUAAUUUAUCAGCGAUCUUGUCCACAAAAAAUAG
rnacentral:lncRNA from 1 species